rnacentral:rRNA from 3 species
GUCACACCCGUUCCCAUACCGAACACGGAAGUUAAGCUUCUCAGCGCCGAUGGUAGUUGGGACUUUGUCCCUGUGAGAGUAGGACGUUGCCAGGC